rnacentral:sRNA from 1 species
ACAGUGGACUGAAUCUCUGACCUAGAAAGAAAACCAAAGGAUCCGGCCGGGAAAGCAAUCUUCUGGCCUAGAAGCCCCCAGGAGAAAGUGCACACACAGAGUCCAGCAUGAGUGGUCAAGCAUACCUUGAUAUCCAGGAAUAAGGAAGCAGAGGUAUGUAUUUUUUUUUGUUGCUUAUUUUAUUGUAUCCCUUAGUCAUCAUCAUUAAAGGGCCAUAAUUAACUCUCAUAGACAUUAUGAAAACUAAUGAUGUCCAGCUUGUAAGCCUCCUGUCCUCCUUACCCAAAUCCUAGGCUUUUUCUAUAACAAAAUUGCAUUUCUUUUAAACAUUCUUCAUCACUUGUCCAUCCAGCAUAUCCUCAAUGUACCUUUAUUUAUAAUGACUAAGUCUUUCUAAGAAAGUAAAGCCAAUACAAAUUAACUUAGGAGUCAAAUGCAAAUCUAUUCUUCAGGAUCUUCUAUAGAAAGCAUCACGUUCAGAUUUAGAAGAACUGUAUGUGAUUGAGGAUUAGGAUAACACUGAUAUCACAUCUUAUGAUCGACAGAAUAAGGAUGGCAGACAAAAUGAUCUCUCAGGCCCUUGUCAGCUCUUGUGUUCUUUUGUUCAUCAGAUCCAGGAAAAUCACGAAAGGAAAGUGAAAAACAGUUUAGCAAUUGAGAACUAAAGCUAUAAUUUUGCUUUCUCUAGGUAGUGAUUAUAUGAAAGUGGCACUUGUUCUGGAAUAAUUUAUACUACAGUCACACUUAGAGAUAGUUCAGUCCUAUUAAAAGCUCUUAAUGAAAUUAUUAUUCAAAUAAUAAGAUGUUAUUAGAUUUUUUAGUAGUAAUGAUAUUCAUUGUAACAGAAGAUUAAUCUGGCACUAAAAUUUAAGCCCAGCUCCGAGUGUAAGGGUUAUUUCAAUGUGAGAAGAGCAGUUUGCUUAUGAAGAACAUGAUGAGUAAACCCUGCUUUGGAGCAAUGGAAAACAUGCUUGUGUGGGGCUUUUCUGAACACUGAGAAAAACAAUUUCACUUACUGAUUUAAUCAAAACUUCUAAUAAGCGAUGUCAACUCACCCAGUUAAAUAUAAUGUGGACUUUAAUAAUCAGUUAUUUAUUGAAACAAAUUCAAAUGUAUAAUUAGUUACUUCUGCAACUUGUUUACAUGUUGUCUUCUCUGUUCAGCAUUUUACUAUUUGCAGCCAAGGUGCAGUUUUAAGUCUGAUCUUUUUUUUACGUUCUUUUCUUUUUUUUAAAUGUUCUCUGGAUUUGGGAUUAAAUUUGAAAAAUACUCUAUCACUGAGAUUCAUUGCCAAACUUCUUAAAAUUUUGAGACAAAGUUGGCCAUGCAGGUCUUGGACGUGUGAUCCUCUUGAAUCUGCCUUGUACGUAGCUAAGAUUACUGGCCUGUGCUCUAAUACACUAUUUUCAUCAAUGUAGUCUAGGGUGACUGUUAACCAUGUGCUUAUUCAUGGAAAGUGAAGUUCAUCAAUUGUGUGGUGUUUGUGGGCCUUUGAUGAUGGCACACAGAGAUGAAAAGGUGAGUGCUAGGUUACUGGCCAAAGCAUAUUCCUUCAACUAUUCAAUUAUGAUGGGAAUUUCCAUUUAUUUUUCUAUUAUAAUAAUUGCUUAUUAAGUUUCAUAUCCAUUUUUAUAUAUUAUGUUACUAUACUACAACUUAAUGAGAAAUAUUUUGUAUUUUAUAAAGGGUUUACUCUUGUUAUAGAUUUCUGUGUCCUACAAGUGGGAGAAAGAUAUUACAUAUUCUAUAAACAGCUGUAGAAAGUAAGGCUCAGAACUUUGAUCAGACAACUGGUAAAUCAGAGACUUUCAAUUUGUCUAGUGCAAACCCCAUGCACUUUCUACAUAAUUUCAUUACCCCUCCCCAUAAGCAAAGGGCAAUCAAGAAUUUUGAGCAUGUUCACACAUCAAUCACUUUUUAAAAUCAAUAGUGAAAUCAAAGGUUUUCUACAUAAGUUCACUUUGCAUUUGUCAUUCUCAUUUAAAAGAUUCACAAGGUUACUUAACUUUUAAUGUUGCAUAGCAUUUUAGCUUUACGGGAAUGGGCCCCAAUCUCCUUUAAAGACUCCUGAGCCAGUUCAUAGACUAAUUACCAGCUGAGGAAGUUCUCUGUGUGCCGAGGGUCUGCUCAGUAUGAUGAAUGUUCAUCUUUGCUAGGGUGAAUGGAUUGCAAAUGAAGUGAUUAAUUUAAAAAAUCAAUUAGUGUAGAGAGCAAGUAUUUUACUUACAACACCCUCCAGUUUAGAGUAGACCCCUUCAUAAAGCAGUGGUAGCAUAGCAAUAAAACUGAACAGGGAGGAAGCUAUGCCAAGAGAAAAAAAACACAGGGUACACUGAUUGUUCUUCAUCCAGGAGUGGGAGGAAAGUUUCAGUGAGCCAAGAGCUUUCCUUCCUCCACCCUGCUGAGUAAUGAACGCCCUUGACUUGUUCCAUGAUAAGAUUCCAAGAUGAAAACACUUACUUAACUUUGGAUGCUUUCCUGCCUUAUUUUCUCUCUCUCUCUC